UAGGGUUGGGCUUGGAGCUAGGAUUUUUCUGAGUGCAAUGAACCAACUCCCGAGUCUCUAGGACGUUCCUAAAAAAAUUUGAUUUUUUCCCAUAGGAAUGCAUGGGUUAGGGUUAGGGUUAGAGUUGGAGCUAGGGUUAGGGUUAGGGUUAGGGUUGGGUUAGGGUUAGUGCCAACCCAAUUUUUCACCUUCCAGAAUAGUGUUAGGAGCACGUUUCAGGGCACGGGGAGUCUAUUGAACCUAAUUCUGGGGGAAGUUUUUUGAAAGGUUUACUUAGGGUUUGGGUUAGGGUUAGGGUUGGAGCUAGGGUUAAGGUUGGAGCUAGGGUUAGGGUUAGGGUUAGGAUUAGGGUGGAGCUAGGGUUAGGGUUAGGGUUAGAGCUAGGGUUAGGGUUGGGGCUAGGGUUAGGGUUAGGGUUAAGGUUGGAGCUAGGGUUAGGGUUAGGGUUAGGGUUGGAGCUAGGGUUAGGGUUAGGGUUAGGGUUGGAGUUCGGGUUAGUGUUGGAGCUAGGGUUAGGGUUAGGGUUAGGGUUGGAGUUAGGGUUUGUGUUGGAGCUAGGGUUAGGGUUGGGGUUGUAGUUAGGGUUAGUGUUGGAGCUAGCGUUAGGGUUGGGCUUGGAGCUAGAAUUUUUCUGAGUGCAAUGAACCAACUCCCGAGUCUCUAGGACGUUCCUAAAAAAAAUUGAUUUUUUCCCAUAGGAAUGCAUGGGUUAGGGUUAGGGUUAGUGUUGGAGUUAGGGUUAGGGUUAGGGUUAGGGUUGGAGUUAGGGUUAGUGUUGGAGCUAGGGUUAGGGUUGGGCUUGGAGCUAGGAUUUUUCUGAGUGCAAUGAACCAACUCCCGAGUCUCUAGGACGUUCCUAAAAAAAAUUGAUUUUUUCCCAUAGGAAUGCAUGGGUUAGGGUUAGGGUUAGAGUUGGAGCUAGGGUUAGGGUUAGGGUUAGGGUUGGGUUAGGGUUAGUGCCAACCCAAUUUUUCACCUUCCAGAAUAGUGUUAGGAGCACGUUUCAGGGCACGGGGAGUCUAUAGAACCUAAUUCUGGGGGAAGUUUUUUGAAAGGUUUACUUAGGGUUAGGGUUGGAGCUAGGGUUAAGGUUGGAGCUAGGGUUAGGGUUAGGGUUAGGAUUAGGGUGGAGCUAGGGUUAGGGUUAGGGUUAGAGCUAGGGUUAGGGUUGGGGCUAGGGUUAGGGUUAGGGUUAAGGUUGGAGCUAGGGUUAGGGUUAGGGUUAGGGUUGGAGCUAGGGUUAGGGUUAGGGUUAGGGUUGGAGCUAGGGUUAGGGUUAGGGUUGGAGUUAGGGUUAGUGUUGGAGCUAGGGUUAGGGUUGGGCUUGGAGCUAGGAUUUUUCUGAGUGCAAUGAACCAACUCCCGAGUCUCUAGGACGUUCCUAAAAAAAUUUGAUUUUUUUCCCCAUAGGAAUGCAUGGGUUAGGGUUAGGGUUAGGGUUGGAGCUAGGGUUAGGGUUAGGGUUAGGGUUGGAGUAAGGGUUAGUGUUGGAGCUAGGGUUAGGGUUGGGCUUGGAGCUAGGAUUUUUCUGAGUGCAAUGAACCAACUCCCGAGUCUCUAGGACAUUCCUAAAAAAAUUUGAUUUUCUUCCCAUAGGAAUGCAUGGGUUAGGGUUAGGGUUAGGGUUGGAGUUAGGGUUAGUGUUGGAGCUAGGGUUAGGGUUGGGCUUGGAGCUAGGAUUUUUCUGAGUGCAAUGAACCAACUCCCGAGUCUCUAGGACGUUCCUAAAAAAAUUUGAUUUUUUUCCCCAUAGGAAUGCAUGGGUUAGGGUUAGGGUUAGGGUUGGAGCUAGGGUUAGGGUUAGGGUUAGGGUUGGAGUAAGGGUUAGUGUUGGAGCUAGGGUUAGGGUUGGGCUUGGAGCUAGGAUUUUUCUGAGUGCAAUGAACCAACUCCCGAGUCUCUAGGACAUUCCUAAAAAAAUUUGAUUUUUUUCCCCAUAGGAAUGCAUGGGUUAGGGUUAGGGUUAGGGUUGGAGCUAGGGUUAGGGUUAGGGUUAGGGUUGGAGUAAGGGUUAGUGUUGGAGCUAGGGUUAGGGUUGGGCUUGGAGCUAGGAUUUUUCUGAGUGCAAUGAACCAACUCCCGAGUCUCUAGGACAUUCCUAAAAAAAUUUGAUUUUCUUCCCAUAGGAAUGCAUGGGUUAGGGUUAGGGUUAGGGUUGGAGUUAGGGUUAGUGUUGGAGCUAGGGUUAGGGUUGGGCUUGGAGCUAGGAUUUUUCUGAGUGCAAUGAACCAACUCCCGAGUCUCUAGGACGUUCCUAAAAAAAUUUGAUUUUUUUUCCCAUAGGAAUGCAUGGGUUAGGGUUAGGGUUAGGGUUGGAGCUAGGGUUAGGGUUAGGGUUAGGGUUGGAGUAAGGGUUAGUGUUGGAGCUAGGGUUAGGGUUGGGCUUGGAGCUAGGAUUUUUCUGAGUGCAAUGAACCAACUCCCGAGUCUCUAGGACGUUCCUAAAAAAAUUUGAUUUUUUUCCCCAUAGGAAUGCAUGGGUUAGGGUUAGGGUUAGGGUUGGAGCUAGGGUUAGGGUUAGGGUUAGGGUUGGAGUAAGGGUUAGUGUUGGAGCUAGGGUUAGGGUUGGGCUUGGAGCUAGGAUUUUUCUGAGUGCAAUGAACCAACUCCCGAGUCUCUAGGACAUUCCUAAAAAAAUUUGAUUUUCUUCCCAUAGGAAUGCAUGGGUUAGGGUUAGGGUUAGGGUUGGAGUUAGGGUUAGUGUUGGAGCUAGGGUUAGGGUUGGGCUUGGAGCUAGGAUUUUUCUGAGUGCAAUGAACCAACUCCCGAGUCUCUAGGACGUUCCUAAAAAAAUUUGAUUUUUUUUCCCAUAGGAAUGCAUGGGUUAGGGUUAGGGUUAGGGUUGGAGCUAGGGUUAGGGUUAGGGUUAGGGUUGGAGUAAGGGUUAGUGUUGGAGCUAGGGUUAGGGUUGGGCUUGGAGCUAGGAUUUUUCUGAGUGCAAUGAACCAACUCCCGAGUCUCUAGGACGUUCCUAAAAAAAUUUGAUUUUUUCCCAUAGGAAUGCAUGGGUUAGGGUUAGGGUUAGGGUUGGAGCUAGGGUUAGGGUUAGGGUUGGAGUUAGGGUUAGUGUUGGAGCUAGCGUUAGGGUUGGGCUUGGAGCUAGGAUUUUUCUGAGUGCAAUGAACCAACUCCCGAGUCUCUAGGACGUUCCUAAAAAAAAUUGAUUUUUUCCCAUAGGAAUGCAUGGGUUAGGGUUAGGGUUAGGGUUGGAGCUAGGGUUAGGGUUAGGGUUAGGGUUGGAGUUAGGGUUAGUGUUGGAGCUAGCGUUAGGGUUGGGCUUGGAGCUAGGAUUUUUCUGAGUGCAAUGAACCAACUCCCGAGUCUCUAGGACGUUCCUAAAAAAAAUUGAUUUUUUCCCAUAGGAAUGCAUGGGUUAGGGUUAGGGUUAGAGUUGGAGCUAGGGUUAGGGUUAGGGUUAGGGUUGGGUUAGGGUUAGUGCCAACCCAAUUUUUCACCUUCCAGAAUAGUGUUAGGAGCACGUUUCAGGGCACGGGGAGUCUAUAGAACCUAAUUCUGGGGGAAGUUUUUUGAAAGGUUUACUUAGGGUUUGGGUUAGGGUUAGGGUUGGAGCUAGGGUUAAGGUUGGAGCUAGGGUUAGGGUUAGGGUUAGGAUUAGGGUGGAGCUAGGGUUAGGGUUAGGGUUAGAGCUAGGGUUAGGGUUGGGGCUAGGGUUAGGGUUAGGGUUAAGGUUGGAGCUAGGGUUAGGGUUAGGGUUAGGGUUGGAGCUAGGGUUAGGGUUAGGGUUAGGGUUGGAGCUAGGGUUAGGGUUAGGGUUGGAGCUAGGGUUAGGGUUGGGCUUGGAGCUAGGAUUUUUCUGAGUGCAAUGAACCAACUCCCGAGUCUCUAGGACGUUCCUAAAAAAAAUUGAUUUUUUUCCCAUAGGAAUGCAUGGGUUAGGGUUAGGGUUAGGGUUGGAGCUAGGGUUAGGGUUAGGGUUAGGGUUGGAGUUAAGGGUUAGUGUUGGAGCUAGGGUUAGGGUUGGGCUUGGAGCUAGGAUUUUUCUGAGUGCAAUGAACCAACUCCCGAGUCUCUAGGACGUUCCUAAAAAAAAUAGAUUUUUUCCCAUAGGAAUGCAUGGGUUAGGGUUAGGGUUAGGGUUGGAGCUAGGGUUAGGGUUAGGGUUAGGGUUGGAGUUAGGGUUAGUGUUGGAGCUAGGGUUAGGGUUAGGGUUAGGGUUGGAGUUAGGGUUUGUGUUGGAGCUAGGGUUAGGGUUGGGCUUGGAGCUAGGAUUUUUCUGAGUGCAAUGAACCAACUCCCGAGUCUCUAGGACGUUCCUAAAAAAAUUUGAUUUUUUCCCAUAGGAAUGCAUGGGUUAGGGUUAGGGUUAGGGUUGGAGCUAGGGUUAGGGUUAGGGUUGGAGUUAGGGUUAGUGUUGGAGCUAGCGUUAGGGUUGGGCUUGGAGCUAGGAUUUUUCUGAGUGCAAUGAACCAACUCCCGAGUCUCUAGGACGUUCCUAAAAAAAAUUGAUUUUUUCCCAUAGGAAUGCAUGGGUUAGGGUUAGGGUUAGUGUUGGAGUUAGGGUUAGGGUUAGGGUUAGGGUUGGAGUUAGGGUUAGUGUUGGAGCUAGCGUUAGGGUUGGGCUUGGAGCUAGGAUUUUUCUGAGUGCAAUGAACCAACUCCCGAGUCUCUAGGACGUUCCUAAAAAAAAUUGAUUUUUUCCCAUAGGAAUGCAUGGGUUAGGGUUAGGGUUAGAGUUGGAGCUAGGGUUAGGGUUAGGGUUAGGGUUGGGUUAGGGUUAGUGCCAACCCAAUUUUUCACCUUCCAGAAUAGUGUUAGGAG
rnacentral:lncRNA from 1 species